rnacentral:rRNA from 1 species
UACGUAGGCAGCGAGCGUUGUUCGGAGUUACUGGGCGUAAAGGGUGCGUAGGCGGUUGUUUAAGUUUGGUGUGAAAUCUCCCGGCUCAACCGGGAGGGUGCGCCGAAUACUGAGUGACUAGAGUGCGGGAGAGGAAAGUGGAAUUCCUGGUGUAGCGGUGAAAUGCGUAGAUAUCAGGAGGAACACCGGUGGUGUAGACGGCUUUCUGGACCGUAACUGACGCUGAGACACGAAAGCGUGGGUAGCAAACAGG